rnacentral:rRNA from 1 species
GGCUCAGGAUGAACGCUGGCGGCGUGCUUAACACAUGCAAGUCGAACGGUGAAGCUCCAGCUUGCUGGAGUGGAUCAGUGGCGAACGGGUGAGUAACACGUGAGCAACCUGCCCCGGACUCUGGGAUAAGCGCUGGAAACGGCGUCUAAUACCGGAUACGCACCAGAACGGCAUCGUUACUGGUGGGAAAGAUUUUUUGGUCUGGGAUGGGCUCGCGGCCUAUCAGCUUGUUGGUGAGGUAAUGGCUCACCAAGGCGUCGACGGGUAGCCGGCCUGAGAGGGUGACCGGCCACACUGGGACUGAGACACGGCCCAGACUCCUACGGGAGGCAGCAGUGGGGAAUAUUGCACAAUGGGCGCAAGCCUGAUGCAGCAACGCCGCGUGAGGGACGACGGCCUUCGGGUUGUAAACCUCUUUUAGCAGGGA